GACGAACGCUGGCGGCAUGCCUAACACAUGCAAGUCUAGGGGUAGCAAUACCACUGGCGCACGGGUGAGUAACACGUAGGUUAUCUGCCCCCAUCACAGACAUAACCCCGGGAAACCGGGGCUAAUAUCUGAUGAGGUCGCGAGAUCAAAGCUUCGGCGGAUGGGGAUGAGCCUGCGGCUGAUUAGCUAGUUGGUGAGGUAAUGGCUCACCAAGGCGACGAUCAGUAGCUGGUCUGAGAGGACGAACAGCCACACUGGAACUGAGACACGGUCCAGACUCCUACGGGAGGCAGCAGUGAGGAAUAUUGGUCAAUGGGAGCAAUCCUGAACCAGCAAUGCCGCGUGUGGGAUGACAGGGCUUCGCCUUGUAAACCACUGUCGGACGGGACGAAAGGAGGCCUCGGGGCCUCUGGGGACGGUACCGUCAAAGGAAGGGUCGGCUAACUACGUGCCAGCAGCCGCGGUAAU
rnacentral:rRNA from 1 species